rnacentral:rRNA from 1 species
GACGAACGCUGGCGGCGUGCCUAAUACAUGCAAGUCGAGCGGACUUUCAAGAAGCUUGCUUUUUGAAAGUUAGCGGCGGACGGGUGAGUAACACGUGGGCAACCUGCCUGCAAGACGGGGAUAACUCCGGGAAACCGGGGCUAAUACCGGAUAAUAUCUUCCUUCGCAUGAAGGAAGGUUGAAAGGCGGCGCAAGCUGCCGCUUGCAGAUGGGCCCGCGGCGCAUUAGCUAGUUGGUGAGGUAACGGCUCACCAAGGCGACGAUGCGUAGCCGACCGGAGAGGGUGAUCGGCCACACUGGGACUGAGACACGGCCCAGACGCCUACGGGAGGCAGCAGGAGGGAAUCUUCCGCAAUGGACGAAAGUCUGACGGAGAAACGCCGCGUGAGCGAAGAAGGUCUUCGGAUCGUAAAGCUCGGUUGUCAGGGAAGAAAAAGUACCGUUCGAACAGGGCGGUACCUUGACGGUACCUGACCAGAAAGCCACGGCUAACUACGUG